CGCGGGGUAGAGCAGCCCGGUAGCUCGUCAGGCUCAUAACCUGAAGGCCGCAGGUUCGAAUCCUGCCCCCGCCA
rnacentral:tRNA from 1 species